GAAUGCAGUAUUGCAGGCUGAUUCUGCCCACUGCCAGGAGUUCGAUCUUGACCAGCUCAAAGUUGACUCAGCUUUCUGUCCUUCCGAGGCACCGUUUUCAUCACAGUUGCUGCUUCUUCUCGUUUCAUCCUCAGGAGGACCAACACUUGGGAGGGAGAUAGCAAGACCAAGAACGGGCUGGACUUUGCCAACCGUUGUGCAUUCAUAUCUCAGCCUGGGAGAAGUGGAGUCUGUCCUCCUGUCAUUAUAUUCAGAAGAUUUAUUUCCAGAAAAAAGAGCCAUCCAGAGAGACAGGCUGUCUGGCCCACGCUUGGCAACCCUUAUAACCGACAAGAUCUCUGGCGCUCUAGCCUGAUUUCCCCA